rnacentral:tRNA from 1 species
ACACAAUUAGCUUAAUGGUAAAGUUUAUUGCUUACAACAAUACUUUUAUUGGUUCGAUUCCGAUGUUGUGGA